GGGGCAGACAGGAUCGUGGAGUUGGUCAGGGUGUUUGACUCCAAGUCGAAAGGUUCUGGGUUCAAACCCCGAUGGCCUCA